rnacentral:lncRNA from 10 species
AUGCUAAUAAUCCUAUUUUGCUCUUUUUGGAAAGGGAUUGAAUUGGAAAUUGUCAAUAGCUGUGAAAAGAACAAUGGUGGUUGUUCCCAUCACCAUGAACAUGCAAUUGGUACUCCCCGUUGUUCCUGUAACCAUGGACACCAGCUUGAUUCUGAUGAGAAAAUGUGCAUAGAUCUUGAUGAAUGUGAGAAUGGAGAAGCCUGCUGUGACCAGCUCUGCAUCAGCUAUUUAGGAGGCUACGAAUGCAGAUGUCAGGAAGGCUUUCAGAUCAGUUCCGAUGGUUGUGGAUGUGAUGCUUGUUCCCCAGAGACCAAUGAGAAAGAAUGUGGCAGCAUCUGUAAUUGUCAGAAUGGAGGCACCUAUGAUCUUCUGACUGGGCAGUGCCAGAGCCCCCCAGGGGUUCAUGGGAAAACUUGUAAAGACGGAAGGAAGGUCUGGUGCCAGUCAGUAAGAUUACUCCUUAAGUUCUUGGGGUUUCUAAUGGGAAAUAAACUAAGUGAAAGUUGCAUGUGUAUUUUUCAAAAUGGCCUUUUUCUGAAGAAGUAAAAGGCUGUGAAAGCUGUGUCUCUCUAUAUAUAAAAGAGUACAAUUUGUUGUUACACAAUGACAUGUGUAACAAGAAAAUAAGUGAUACUUAAAUCUCCAACUGUGAUCUAAGCAGGAUGAAUCCUCUUACAGAGAAAGCCUUUUUCUUCUACCGAGCAAAAACUUACAUUUAUGUGUACAGGUUUAGAUGUAGGAGCUUAGGAGAAGUUAUUUUCUCUGCAUAACAAAAUGAAGAACAAUGGAGCUCCUUGGGGAAACCAGGGAGGAAGACAGAUGAAAAUUAGAGAAGAAAAGGGGAGGAGGUAGAGAGAAAAAGAGAAAAAGAGAUGAUAGAUAAAAAACUCACAAAAUACCAAUGAGUACUGUGCAUAGAUUGUGUGUGUGUGUGUGUGUGUGUGUGUGUGUGUGUGUGUGUGUGUGUGUGUGUGUAUAAACCAGUGAAGAGGCAACAAUUCCUACAUGGGUUAAUAAAGCACAAAAAAAGAACCUGUUUGUACAGGCACAAAAGCUGAAGGCACAGAGUCAAUGAGGAUGUAAGUCUCUAGGGAUUGCCAGAAAUCAUGAGGAGUUUAUUAGCUUCUCACAGUUGAUGGAAUUGGGGAGUUGGAAACCAAGUUUACUUCACUUUCUGAGAUGCAGUAAGGUUCCUGCUGGCAUUUCAGUUACUUAUCUUUGUGAGCAAUGUUCAUUUAUUUAUUUAAAAAAUACAUUAAGUGGUUGCAAGGAAUGGCACCAGACAUUAUGAUAUGAUAGCAAAAAGGAAAAAAAAAUAUAUUAUUGUGCUUCCAUGUGGAACAUGUGAUUUUGUUCAAGGCAACCAUAAAUUACAAAUACUGGUAGGGAUUACAAGUUAGAUAUUAAUAUGUGGUUGGAGGUGAGACCAUGAGGACAACGCAGACUGUAUGAGCCUGGGACAGAGACUUAUGGAGAAGGGACAUUUAAGCAAAAGCCUGCAAAAUGUGGAGAGAUAAAACAUGGGAAGAGUGGGGAAAGGGCUUUCCUGAUUAAGAGGCAACAGGAAGGCAUGGGAUGCACUAUGAAACCUGCAGAGGCCAGCGGAGCACAGGCAGACAGGCAGAGGGUAGUGCAACAUGAGGUCAGCAAGCUCAGGGGCCCCAGUCUUAUUAAGUUUGGUAUUUUUGACCUGACAGCAAUGACGAGUCAUUGUAGGAUUUUAAGCAGAGGAUACAGAAUCAUCUUGGUGGUUUUUAAAAGAUCUCUCUAGCCUCACUUCAACCAGAUUAGAAACGUUUCACCUUUCUCAAUCUCCUGACUUCCUAUAACAAUAACUCUAGCAAGUUUUACAUGUGGGUUAAUAUUUUCUUCAUUUGUCCUCUCACCCUCCAGGAUGGACAAAAGGGUUCUUUUGGAAGAACUGCAAAAGGAAAUGUAACUGUGCCAACAAUGGCCAUUGCCACAGGAUGUAUGGCACCCGUAUGUGUGAGGUGGUUUUGUCAUCUGCGUAACUUGCAGGCAAUUAAUUUGCUCUGUGCGUAAAACAUGAAAGCACAGAAAAGUGCAGAGACUACUGUCACACAAAGGAAGAGGGUAAAAAAUGUUUUUUAUAGUUUUAUAUAUAUGACAAAUAUAUUAUAGCAUUUAGCCUCUUUGAAUUACAGAAUCUAGAUUUUGAUAAAUGAAAGAAAAAUG